rnacentral:lncRNA from 1 species
CUUGAUGACUGCUAUGCUUAUUCCCAUUUCAUACACAAGGACACAGAAGACCCAAGAGAUCAAGUGACUUCCAGGUCACACAGUGAUGAAGUGAAAGAUCAAGCUGUUUGGGCCCUGAGGCCUUCACUCUACCCACUGCAGGGGACACAGACAGCAGAGCUUCCCCCUGGGCGGUGUCGUCCUCUUGUUCUACCAUAGAAGUGGUGUGAAGCGGGGUCCACCCCUCCCUGCAGGCACCCAGCUCCUCUUGCCAGAGGCUCCAGGCCCACACAGCCGUCUGCACAGCCGGCUCUGACUUCCCCAGUCAGCACCCCAGGGGAAGUCCACUUGUGGUGGACCAGCAGGUCUCUCCACUCCACAGAGAACUUGCCAAGUUCUCCACCAGCCAGGCUCCGGGAGGCAGGCCUCCUACGUUCCCAUUGCAUAAGUGUUACUCCAGCCAGUUCCUGGAAUCGGAAAUAUGGCAGACCAUUCACCUGAGGGAGAGCCGAUGCCCAGGAGGGCUGCAUGUUUGCUUAGCUGUGCCCUCAAGGCCCUUUCCAGGGGACCAGCUUGUGAAAAGCGUCGUCUAGCAAGGCCCAUUUCUUAAGGCAAAGUGGCUUUAGUUUCUCUGUUCGGUUUCCCAACACACUUUCUCCCAGUGAUCUCUCAGACCCACCUCAGCCGCCUCUGCCCUGGGUCAGACCCCUCGUGGCUGAGUGCAAUUACUCCACGACCUCCUUGCUGGGCUUCCAGGCUUCCUGCCUCCAGCUCUACGCCAGCCUCAACAUCGCACCAGGACUCUUGUUCCAAAUGCCAAUCUUAUCGCAUUAGGCCCCAGCAUAAAAUCUAUCCAUGGCUCACCUGUGUCUAAAAAUUGAAUACUUCUCAGAGUUCCCAUUGUAGCACAGCAGGUUAGGAACCUGACUAGCAUCCAUGAGGAUGCGGGUUCCAUCUCUUGCCUUGCUCGGUAGGCAGGUUAAGGAUCCAGUGUUGCCAAUGAGCACUCGUGUAGGUGCUUGGACCUGGUGUUGCUGUGGUUGCGGUAUAGGCUGGAAACCCUAGCCUGGGAACUUCCAUAUGCCACAGGUGUGACCCAAAAAGGCAACAAAUAAAUAUAUACAUACAUAUAUACAUACAUACAUGCAUACUUCUCCACUGUGCAAAUUAUCUACAAUGAAAAUAUACUAUUAGAAUAAUUUGAAAGAAACUAUUUUAAGAUCUGCUUCCACCCCUAGACCGCAAGUUUCUUGAAGUACGCAGAAUGUCUUUUUUUUGUCUCGAGGACACAGUUCAGUGCCCUGUCGAUGGCAGGGAAGAGGGCAAGACAUGCAGAUAGUCAGUGUCAUUUGACUGGGUUGAUUAAAUCCCAGCCCAAACAAUUUAGCCAGUAUGUGCAGCCUUAUCAGAGAUAAAGAAACAAUUGCCCUUAUAGUGUUUGAUUCUGAGACCCUCUUUCUCCAUCUGUAGUAGACGAGAACUCCCGCUGGGGACCCAUUUGUCCGAACCUCCACUGUACUGGUGCAGACGAUGCUCUUCAAGCUGCUGAGGGGCCCUGAUUUCGAUGAGCCCCCAGGACAGAACCAGGGAAGUGAGGAGGAGUUAGCGGGAGGACCGUCUCCACCCCAUGCGCUCUCAUCCCAUCUACCUGAAACUCCAGUCCUAGCCUUUCCGGCAGCUCGUGUCUCGGGGGUCAGAUCUAGGCUCUGCUCGGAAGCCGCUCCGUGCCACGUAGCAAACCACUUCCCUUCUGGAGAUGCCCUGUCUCUCCUGCGCAAUCAGGCACUUGAACUGGAGAGGUUGUGUCGCUCUCUUCCUCCCUCCAAGUUCCUAGAAGAGGCUCUUGAACUGAUUGGGUAUUUAGCCAAUGCCUCGGGGAAGGAAUGGACCUAAGGCCUGGAUGUGUCGGCACCAAUGACCUCUAGUGAGAACAAGGCUAAGGCUACGGGCACAGGGUAGGCCCUGACUGGGGCCUGAGAAAGCAGGCUGCCAGGGGAAGCCGGCAGGCCGUCCAUCUUCCAGGCGGCUUCCAGGGAAACAUUUUAUUCACUUUCUGACUGAAUUUGCCCACAUUUGGGAUUUAUCUUACAGUUCCAACAGGCUCAGGAACUUGGUUCUGUGGGCCCCCCAAGAGCUGAUCCUUCCCUCCCGACGCCAGCAACGAGUGUCCUGGAAGCCGGCUUGCUCAUGUACAGAGGGCAAGGAGGCACCAUCACGUGGGCAUGAAAUCCACGCCGUGGCACAGGCAAGGGCCUUCUCUCCCUGGGGACUUCAGGGCUGGGGGAUGUCAGGUCACUCUCUGAGGGUUGCUGGGGGAGCUAGGGAUCAGGGCAGAAAAAUUAGAUGAAUAAACUGUCUCACAGCACCCAAUUAAGAUAGCCUCAUGUGAUUCCCCGCACACAGCCUGGACAGAGUGCCCAAAUUUCCCUGAGUGACUCUGCUUUCCUUUCUUCUUCGAAUAGAUUUGAGAUCUACAGUCGGAUUAAGAUCAGCUGACUCUCACAGUCCUGGGAGCCAUCCUGUCUCCUCGCUAAUCCUCUGCGCCUCUCUUAAACUUUAACUCUCAAAGGAUAAUCUUAUUUCCAUAUGUCUGAGUUCUCCCAGGAAGUUCCUAUGUGCUGGCAACGGUGGUUUUCCUUAAGAACAGCCUGGUAGAGUGGAAUGAACAUCAAAUCUACAGUCAAGAGAGGAGGAUUAGGAACAAGUUGAGACACUUGGAUGAAAUGAACCCUACCUCAUCAUCUGCUAGGUGGAAAGGAAAUACUAAUAACUCCUCCUCUAGGGUAGUGGUAAGGGUCAAAUGAGGUCAAGGAUGCUAUCAACCCUGUACAACUUGCUAGUCAUUCUUCCUUUCUUUUUUUUUUUUUAUGGCUGUACCUGCUUUUGGAGGUUCCCAGGCUAGGGGUCACAUCAGAGCUGCAGCUACAGCCUAGCCCACAGCCACAGCAACACGGGAUCCAAGCUAUAUCUGUGACCUACAGCGCAGUUUGUGGCAAUGCUGGAUCUUUAACCCACCGAGCAAG